CAGGAUUAGAUACCCUGGUAGUCCACGCCCUACACGAUGCUGACUAGUUGUUCGGGAUUUACAUCCUGAGUAACGUAGCUAACGCGUGAAGUCAGCCGCCUGGGGAGUACGGUCGCAAGAUUAAAACUCAAAGGAAUUGACGGGGACCCGCACAAGCGGUGGAUGAUGUGGAUUAAUUCGAUGCAACGCGAAAAACCUUACCUACCCUUGACAUGUCACUAACGAAGUAGAGAUACAUUAGGUGCUCGUAAGAGAAAGUGAACACAGGUGCUGCAUGGCUGUCGUCAGCUCGUGUCGUGAGAUGUUGGGUUAAGUCCCGCAACGAGCGCAACCCUUGUCUUUAGUUGCUACGCAAGAGCACUCUAAAGAGACUGCCGGUGACAAACCGGAGGAAGGUGGGGAUGACGUCAAGUCCUCAUGGCCCUUAUGGGUAGGGCUUCACACGUCAUACAAUGGUGCAUACAGAGGGUUGCCAACCCGCGAGGGGGAGCUAAUCUCAGAAAAUGCAUCGUAGUCCGGAUCGUAGUCUGCAACUCGACUACGUGAAGCUGGAAUCGCUAGUAAUCGCGGAUCAGAAUGUCGCGGUGAAUACGUUCCCGGGUCUUGUACACACCGCCCGUCAUACCAUGGGAGUGGGUUUUGCCAGAAGCCGUUAGCCUAACC
rnacentral:rRNA from 1 species